rnacentral:tRNA from 1 species
GCGAGUGUAGCUCAGUGGUAGAGCGUAGCCUUGCCAAGGUUGAUGUCGCGCGUUCGAAUCGCGUCACUCGCUUUG